UUUCCGUAGGUGAACCCGCGGAAGGAUCAUUAUUGUAUAACCGAGGUGCGAGGGCUGUCGCUGACCCGAAAGGUCGUGCACGCCCGAGUGCCCUCACACACAUCCACCUCACCCCUAUGUGCACCACCGCGUGGGUCCCCCUUUGGCUUGUUCGGAGGGGGGCUUACGUUUUCACACAAACUUUGUAUGCAGUGUAGAAUGUAUUUUUUGUUUUUGCGAUCACGCAAUCAAUACAACUUUCAACAACGGAUCUCUUGGCUCUC
rnacentral:misc_RNA from 1 species